UGAUCUCUCUCUGUCAAAUAAAUAAAUAAAAAUCUUAAAAAAAAAAAAAAGGCAACAUGGUUACAACCUCAGAGAUACGUAAAAUGGGAAAUAAUAAUAUAAAUUAAUUUUAACCGUUAGUUAUAAGGUCAUCCUCCUAGCUUUCACAUCAAGUCUUUGGUCAAGUACAAUAUACCCCCCAGUAUUUGGCGGAAUAGCUCUAUAAAAUACCUAAUUCUCUUGCUUUGUCUCAAACAACAUCAAGUAUUAUAGGCUUUUAUCUUUGAGUUUUACUUUAAAAUUCUUAACCGAUUUUUUUAUAAUGGGAAUUUUCAAAAGCUGCUCAACUUUUCACUGUCAUUUUCUUUCAUUCUGGUAAGGCAGGCAAACUGGCUACUUGACAUCGAAGUUUCUUUCCCCAUAUUCGUUUCCAGGCUUCAAGUCCAUUAGCUCAGUCAAACCACACUUAGGAGAAAAGACUUUUCUUGCUUUACCUUCUUCAUUUUCCUUCACUCCCCAUUGCCCAGCACCACAGCACCUCCGAAAUCAAGUGCCAGGAGUUGCCACUCCACGGAGAGUUUUAGAUGCAUCACUCCAUGGCUAGCAGCAACUCAGAAGGAUGAAGAAGUCAGUGGAAAUAUAAAGUGUAAAGCAAUUUCAUUCCUUAAAAAACUACAAGAUAGAACAAAGCACACACAUCCUUUGCCAGCUGCCUUUGGAAACCGGCUCUGUUUGCUCAUGCGCAGAAAAAAGCCAAGCCCCGGGAUGGUAUUGACAAGAACAAGAUGAAUGACCCCCUGGAGACCAUAGGGCCCAGGUUGAACUCAGUGCUCUGGGAGAGAUCUUAUUCUGUUCUCCCUCCUUCUUGAGGAGAACUUCCGUAUUUGGGUGAAUAUGUGCUCGGAGCAUAACCGUUGGCACAUCUCAACGACGUAGCUUUGUUGUGCUGCUUCUCCAGGCGCCACCCGUAGCUGUUCUGUCUCCCCAAAGAACAUCCCGAGUGCCGGGCCUGUCCGCAGAGAAAAGCCCCAGCCGGGAAAGGUGCUGAAGCUGCGAGGUAGUCAACGCUGCAUGUACAGACGGGUUUGUGAUUGCUCGCUUGCUCCGUGGGUGUGGAGGGGACAGGACAGGACGCUGUUUGUGACAGUUUCCAUACUUAUCUAAGCAUCCAUACACUUCCUGCUCUUCCCUCCUCUUCCUGUUGGGACAUUUUUGUACGCGCCCAAUGCCAUAAGAUUCCAAAGGAAAUGCGAGUACUUCACGAUGAUCUCAAUCAGCAUCCAACUGAAGGCCAAGUUUUCUGUCACAAAAUCGAUCGUAUCAUAAAGACUCACCAUACUCCUUAAAAAAACCCACGCGCAAUCUGAUCACUUCUACAGUGCCGUGGGUCUGUAGCCGCACGCUCGUCUCAUGUAGGCAAAACCACACUGCCGCCUCUCACGCAGACACUAAGUUGUUUAAUUCUCUAGAAACAUUUUUUAUGGAAAAAUCAAGCACAUAUAGCUACUCCACGCUCACACACAUUAGUAAUCCAGCUGCUGGUGAUGGAGCUCCUCUUCCUGUGUCAUUUGGCCUUGAAAUGCUAAUGCAUCGCCUUCUGGACAAGUUCCUCGGAGAAGCGCCCUCUCUCUGUUCAGUUCCUUUCCCCCACCCUCUCGCUGCCUGAGGGGAAGUCAGGGAGAGAGGGAACCGAGGAGCCCACCUCCCUCGUUGCCUGAAUGGUGUAAUUGGAUGGAGACCCACCUUGGGGGCAGGAGGCGGAAGCGUCCAGGUGGCCCAGGAAUAAUCCACUGUAAUUUUCAUUCUCUGGGCUUGCUAAUGGGGGUAUAAAAAUAUUUUGGGUGCUGGAGGGCAAGAAAGAAAGAAAAAGUCGUUUCUAAAAAAAAAAUAAUAAUAAACCUUCUUUAUUCACAACCUGACUCCCAUCCAGUGAAAUCGAUCACUUUUGUAAAACUCCUCCCUCUCUGGUCGGCAAAUUCAAACCUGGCCGAGGGUUAUUAUAGCCCCUGCUUUGUGUCCAAGGAUCUGUAUGUGCAAUUUCUCUUCAGCGUUAAUUUUUUCUAUCUGUAUUUGAACGUGUUUCUUCAAAUGCGGGAAGCACAAGAUUCUUUUCCAUGCAGGGACCAGAAAAAAGGAGUAAGUCGGGCUCAUCUUGUAGAUGAUCCUUAGCGCUCAACACCUAAACCCAAGGAGGGGAAGGGGCCUCCCCUGCAAGGCUUGUAGUUUCAGAAAAAUACUUCUGGGGUUUGAUGGGGAGAUGACGAAAUGCACAAAGCAGCACCUAAAACGAGGGAAGGGAAACUUCUUCCUGGGCCGGCAGCACUGGGGCUGCUGCGGGUGUCACGGCAAAACCUGAGUGCGCUCCAGGCUUCAAAUUCUGUGUUAACUUGAGUGAACACCCACUUCGUUGUCUGCCGGAUGGUCAGGUGUUGGUAGUAACUUUUUCUGGGGAGGUGGAGCAGCUGCCACACAGAGAUGGAAGGCGACCUGAUGGUCAGAGACCCCAGUUCUAGUCCAUUUGCCUCUGCAGAGCUGUGACCUUGGGCACAUCACUUCCCAGCCUUUUACUUUCCUUACCUUUAUGGCACAUGAAUUCAACUAUCUUUUCUAGAACUUCUUCAAGGUUAUGUUCUGUCGUAACAGCAACCGAGCCCAACAAGAAUGCUGUCAUUGUUACGUGGCCAAUGGAUCAUCAAAUGUGCACUAAAGAAUGGAUCCCAGUGGCACCUUAAGCAUGACUUCCAUAUUAUUUUCCCGGGUAGCCUCUAAGAAUAUCCUGAAACAGAUCCUUAAUAACAAACCAAUAAAUCCGCAUAUAACAGAGGAAAUACUGUAUUAUAUGAACAAACUAGAUUCAAACAAACCAGACCAGGUUUUUAUCUUAACAAGGAAAACAACCGUUUGUUGAAUACCUACUGUGCUAGACACUGUGUUACACCCUCUUCAUCCAUUUCCUUUUUAAUCUUCCAAACAAGCCUGUGAAAUUAUUACCAUACCCAUUUCACAGAUGAGGAAAGUAAGUCUCAGAGGAAUAAAAGUAAAUUUACUCAUCACUCUGCUCCGAUUCAAAGUCAUGGUGCUCUGCCCCCUUACUAAUAUUUUUAGACACCACACUCUUGCCCACUCACUAGGAAAUCACAAAAUGAAUAAUAGCAGUAAAAAUAAUACAAAUAAUCUCUUUCUCGAAUGUAGGAACUUUGGUUCAAUUAUAGGUCUUUUCUUGUGCUCAGAUGAGGGCCUACACAAAGGGGGUCUUGUCACUAAACAGUUGUUAAAUGAAAAGUAACCACCCCUUGCCAACAAGUUUCGUGUCUUCUUGGUAUUACAGUCUCUAGAACAACACUGUCCAGUAGAAUUUUCUGUGGUGAUAGAAUGGUUCUGUAUCAGGCACCUGGGUGGCUCAGUCCGUUAAGCGGCUGCCUUCAGCCCAGGUCAUGAUCCUGGGGUCCUGGGAUCGAACCCCCAUUGGGAUCCUUGCUCAGCCUGUUUCUCCCUCUCCCUUUGCCUGCCACUCCCCCUGCUUGUGCUCUCUCUAUAUAUAAAAUAAAUAAAAUCUUUAAAGAAAAGAAUUGUUCCUUACCUAUAUUGUCCCAGUUGGUAACCUUGUGUGGCUACUGAGCACUGCAUUGUGGCUAGUGUGGCUAAGGAACUAGACCACCUUUUAUUUCAUUUUAAUGAAUUUAAUUUUAAGUAGCCACAUGUGACUCAUGGUCUCCGUAUUGGACAGUAGGAGUCCAGGGUAAAAUGCUCACCGUAUAGUAAGAAUCUGGGUUUACCAGUGAGAAUACAGAGGUGCUUUGAAGGUGUAGACCCAUGAUUCAAUCUUGAGUUUUUCCAAUAUGACCCAAACUCACACCUUGUCCAGAAGUUUCCUGUACGAUAUUAGGGGAGAAAAAAAAAAAAAGAACCAGGAAUCUUGGGCCCCCAAGAUGUGAAUUAAUCAUUCCAGGAUUUGGAAUGGCUUCACAUGGAGAACUUGAUUGUCCUUUGGAAAUGGGACUCCAUUGUUUUUGAUGAAAGUUCAGAUAAGAAACUCAGCAAAAUGGAAUUUGCAGUGGGACCCUGGUGCUUGGGCUCUGCCAUUGCAGGGGGUCACAGAGUUGGUUCACAUCCAGUUUAUCUGAGUUGCAAAGAGAAAGCAAUAGCAACAGGCCUGCAGUGUGUUAUCAUCACACGCAAAGACGGGGGCAUAACUGGUGGGGGGCAUUCCAGCAGUUGCUAUAAAAUAGUAUUUCUCAAACUUUUUCAUUGACUUCUCCCUAAGAUGACCUUUCAGACAUUUCUUCCUAAACGUCCUCACCUGAGAAGUUUUAAUAUCACAGAAAUACUGUUUCUCAAUUUACACACUAUAUGUUUAGUGCUUUAAACAUAAAAAUAAUGUGACUUUUGCUCCCCAAGAACCAAUUUUCUUGUUGGGGGGAGGGAUGAUAUCACCUUGGCUGAGAAAGUUCUAGAAUGAAUGAACUCUUCUCGACUCCGAAAAGAGUCCAAAUGGAAAAAGCCUGGGCUCCAGUUCAGGCAGGCCCUCAUUUUAGUCCUACUCUUCCUCUUAGGCAAAUCAGUUAAUCUUCUUAAGCCUCUGUUUUGCUGCUCUGUAAAACGGUGAUAAAGAUAUUCUCUCCCUCCUUGAGCUGUUGGGAGCACUGCAUGAGGUAAUGAACAUUCAUUAAGAAUUUGUGGCAUUCAGGGGCACCUGGGUGGCUCAGUGGGUUAAGCCUCUGCCUUCAGCUCAGGUCAUGAUCUUGGGGUCCUGGAUCCAGCCCCACAUCAGGCUCUUUGCUCAGCAGGGAGCCCGCUUCCCCCCCACCCUGCCUGCCUCUCUGCCUACUUGUGAUCUCUGUCAAAUAAAUAAAAUCUUAAAAAAAUAAUAAUUUGUGAUUUGUGGCAUUCAGGAGGCACUCUCUAAAUGUUAGCCAGUUUCACUAUUUUUAUUAACACAGGAACAUUUUGGCAGUGCAUCCAGUUUUCACGUCUCUGUUUUCUGGAGGUUGCCGUCUUGGAUUUUUAAGAAGGGGCUUUCUACUGUCGGAACAGCCACUUCUUCCGAGGUGAAGUUUCUUAAGAAAUCUUACAGGAUGUCUUCCUCCUCCAGCUCCAGGCAUAUCUUCCGAACACUCAUGAAGGCCCUUCAGACCUGAUGAGGCUGAGAUCACAGACAGCAUUUGCCUGAUAUAAAAUAUGCACAGUAACACGGUCUCAAUUAGAGAAAUUGGAUAUUAAUUUUGGUGCUGCAGCUUUAGCUACACACAUACAUCCGUACACAGAAACAGACACUGUCUUCUGGGGGGUCGCCAUCAGAGAACGUCCGUGUCCGUGACCUCUGCUCAGCCGAGACAGCACCUGAGCCCUGACCUCCUUCAUGAGCACCUGGAGGGUCCGAAGGUGAGUCUCCAGCGUGUGUACUUAGUAAUCAUCCUGAGGUGGAACCCCACCCCUGGGAUGGAGUGGGGGGCUCAGCAAUCUGGCAUUGUCCCCAUCGGUACCCGUGUCUGCCGGGACAAAGAUGGAGGAGAUCAGCAGGUGCAGUAGGAAGGAGGGCACCUUAGCAAAUGCGCAAGGGAGACUCUUCCUAAACGAGGCUCAGUCCCGUGUGGGGGUGUUGGAAGCACAGAGGGUUUCGACAAGAAUAUGUUCUGCAGGGCCCCGUGGGGGACAGAUGGGAAGAAGGGCGGGGAGGGGCCACUGUGAGAGGAGAUGAAGAGCCUGUGCACAGGCUCAGCCUUGGGCGUGUGCAGAGGCUGAAGACAAAGGGACCCCUGGAGUGUGGCCCUUAUUGUCAGGGCUGCAGCUCCGGCCAGAGACAUGACUUUGUUAGUCCGACAAACCGCAGACCCCUUCUCUGAGAACCUCUCCACACCGCACAGUGGGCCGCCUUCGCUCGUUUGACUGCCUGAUUCUGCCCCCUUGGCCUUAGCCAGGGGUCUCUCCCAAUUCGCUUCUCUCUCUCCCAAGAAUUUGGAAUUGGAAUUAGAGGUGCCCACUCUCUGCAGCUCCCUCGACCCAGCGGAAGCAACUCGGGGAGCCAGAAUUGAUGUUAGGCAGGUGAGGGGGCCUUCGUGAGCCAAGUACGCAGCUGAUACAGAGAAAGAAAUGAAAAGAACCGGAAAAAACCCCAGCAUCUGCUCUUGGCCCUCCCUGGGACCUGACUGCACUUCUGGCCCUUGAGGUCCAUUCAUCUGCAGAAUUCGUUCCUCUUGCUUUUUGCUGGAAGUCGUGUGGGUCACGAUCUCUGUACCAGUGAAACACUGAAAUAGUCAUAGAGACUGAGGAGACCUUAGAUGUCAUUGGCAACUCUGGAACGUGGGCCGAGGGAGGGGACCUGGACGCAGGGGACCCCCAGCACGCAGGAGGCUUCUGCACCCCUACCCUUCCUAUAGAGAAGGUAGGGGACACAGUGAUUGUGCGUUGGAUGUGACAACAGAGCAGAAACCUGCCAGAAAACCGCUCCCAGGAGCACCGCCAGCGAGCAGCAGUCCUGAUGUCGUAGGCUCCGGGGGCUGCCAUGACAAAGGACCACAGAAAUCUUGUUUCUCACUGUUCUGGAGGGCAGAAGUCCAAAGUUGUGGUGUCAGCAGGGCUAUGCCCCCUCAGGUCUUCUAACCGAGCACCUCUUCUCUGCCUUGCCCCCAUCCCCGUGUGACCUCCUCCUCUUCUCUCUGUCCCUCCUCCGAGUGUCUCUUGUGAGGACACCUGUCACGGGAUGUAGGGCCCACCCUGGGAAACCAUAAUCUCAUCUCAAGAUCCUUAAUUUAACCACAUCUGCAAAGCCCCUUUUCCCAAAUAAGGUCACAUUCGCAGCCUCCUGGGGUUGGGAUGUGAACCUCUUUUUCGGGGGGCACACACGGGUUUUGGGGGUGCCGUUGGUCAGCACUGCCGAUGGUAAAGGGCAGAGGGAAUGUUCAUCGUGCUUCGUGGAAUUCCCGCAUCUUUCCUGUCACUUCCUGGUGAAUGUUUGUUGUUUUUCUUCUAAUUAAACUUUCUCGUGCUACAUAA